GAACAAAUAAGACGUGAACUUGGAAAUGGGGGUGGAAGGAGAGUUCCCUUGUUCAGUUUAUGGUUCCUAAUGUACACAAAGUCGAACGUUUGAAGACUUGAAUAAUGUUAGCCUACUGAGUUUCUUGUGAAGAUUCAGUGGAAGUGUGUACAUGGAGUUUAGCAGGGUUGUUGGCAAGAAUCUGAAGCAAGAGUUCUAUGAAGGUCUGGAUCGACACAGUCCUCGUCUCAUCAAGAUUUUCAGAUCCAAG